rnacentral:rRNA from 1 species
UAAAGAAUAAGAAAUUUUGGUAAGUUUACCUUUUGUAUCAGGGGAAAUUAAAAGUAGAAAUAAUGAGAUAUCGAUUUAGGCAGAGCUUCGUAUAAGGUGGUUGUAGUUGAAUUUAUAAUUUUAAACAAAUUAUGAGGUGAAAAGUGCACGGUGCUUAUGGUAGCUAUUUGUUUUUUUUUUUGAGGGGUAAGCUCUCAUGAACUUAGUUAUGGUGAAAAUAUAGGGGGAUUAGGCUUUGUAUUAGCCAAAUUACUAGAUUGUUUUAAAUAACUUAAUAAAGCAUAAUUGGUCCUAAGGUAGAAAGACUUGGUUUGUUAGUGUUAAUAGAUCUAAAUAAUGAAUUUAUUGAAUAACAAUUGGAGCACUUAAAUAACUCAUGGAAAGUUAGAAUGUUUAGCAAAAACAUUUUUUUUUGUAGUAAAUAAAGUAAGACCUGCCCGGUGAUUUUUAACGGCUGCGGUAUUUUGACUGUGCUAAGGUAGCAUAAUCAUUUGCUAUUUAAUUGGUAGCUGGAAUGAAAGGUUAAACUAACUUGUCUGGUUUGUUGUGUUUUUUAAGAAAUUAAAGUCAAGGUAAGAAUUCUUUGAUUUGCUAGGGGACGAUAAGACCCUAGAAGCUUAACAAUAAUGAUAUUUUUUAGUUAUAAAGAUAAAUUUGUUUUACUGGGGCGGUAAAGGUACAUAAACUAUUAAGGUACUGUAGGAUCCUUAAAAUAAAGAUAAAUCGGAAAAGUUACUCUAGGGAUAACAGUGCAAUAUUUUUGGAGAGAUCUUAUCGAUAAAGAUGAUUGCAACCUCGAUGUUGAAUUAAAAUGUCUGCGUGAAGCAGAAGGUACGUAAGAAGGUUUGUUCAAC